GAUGCCCAUACCACGUUGAAUCCUAACCGGUUCUCGUCUGAUCACUAAAGUUAAGCAGCGUCGGGCGUGAUCAGUACUUAGAUGGAUAGGCGCUUGGGAAGACUGCGU